AAUAAUAAUAAAAAGUAACAACUGGCGCUCAAAGUCACCAGCAUAAAUUCUCCAUAACCAUUGAUGGAAUUGGAACUCAACCAAUUUUCUUUUAAUAAAGUCCAAUAAUCUUGAGCCAUAGAUGAAGAAGUCAAGCAAAAGUUAAAACUUCAGCUAGUGCAAUCCUCCUGUGUAUUUCCUCUUUUUUUGGAUGUGAAAUCGUCCUUUGAGUUUCAACAAGAUGAAGCAAGGUGAUGCUCAUGGUAAAUUCAUUAUCACACACAUCCUUUUUGCCUUCUUGCUCGGAUUCGUAGCAGCUGCAGCCACAUGUUAUUACCAACAGAGGAAGUCUAAGGCUGUAACUGUGACUGUAACUGCAGUGAGAGACCAAACUAACAUUCCACGGCUAGAGAGGACAGAAUCCGGCCGUGUUGGAAAGCUUGAAAGAUUCUCCCACUAUGUUGCUAGGCAAAUGGGGUUUUCAGAUGCAAGUGAAUGUCCCCAACUUUGCAAGUUAGCUUACGAUUAUUUGAGGAAAUCUGAAGGUUGUGAAAAUUCCAUCUAUGAUUAUUUUUGUAAUGAACCAGAUGCAAAAUCUCUCUACAGGAAGUUGAUUGGAGAGUUUGAAACAUGUAUCCUCAGUUAUUUUGCUUUUCAUUGGGGUCAUGCUUCUCUUAUGAUUAGUCAGGUUUUGAAUGAGGAGUCUGCAGACAGUGAGCGAAAAGCAAAGCUCAAGGACUUGGUGUUGGCAGCUACAAGGAAACAGAGAUUUGAGAGGGUGACAAAGAAUUUGAAGGUGGCAAGGGUGUUCACUACAUUGGUGGAGGAGAUGAAAGCAAUAAACGGCAGUGCACCUAAGGGUGGUGACUCAGUAAUUACCGAGGUAAUGGCGCCGAUGGCUCACAGUAAGAGGAGUCCGGUGCUGCUUCUCAUGGGUGGUGGCAUGGGAGCUGGCAAGAGCACAGUCCUAAAAGAGAUUCUUGAAGAACCAUUCUGGUCCGAAGCAAAAGCAAAUGCCGUGUUAGUAGAGGCAGAUGCUUUCAAAGAGUCUGACGUUAUUUACAGAGCUCUAAGUCGUUCUAGAGGUCAUCACCAGGAAAUGCUUCAUACUGCUGAACUUGUGCACCAAUCUUCCACUGAUGCUGCAUCAUCGCUACUAGUAACUGCACUUAAUGAAGGACGGGAUGUGAUCAUGGAUGGCACUCUAUCAUGGGAGCCCUUUGUUGAGCAAACAAUUGAUAUGGCUCGUGCCAUUCACAAAUGUCGUUACUGAAUGGGGGUAGGUUACAAGGUUGCAGAGGAUGGCACCAUUACUGAAAACUACUGGGAGAUGGUAAAAGAAGGAGACGAAGAAGAGCAACCAAAAGAAAAUGGAGAAGCCCCCAAGAGAAAACCUUAUAGAAUCGAGUUGGUUGGGAUGAUUUGUGAUCCUUAUUUAGCUGUUGUUAGAGGCAUCAGGAGAGCUAUACUAAUGGGAAGGGCAGUGAGAGUUAAUUCUCAGUUGAAUUCCCACAAGAGAUUUGCUAGUGCUUUUCUAAGAUACAGCCAACUCGUUGAUAAUGCGAGGCUCUUUUGCACCAAUUCUACGGGUGGUGCACCUAAGUUGAUAGCAUGGAAAGAUGGGGACAACAAGCCGCUAAUUGAUCCUGAGAAAAUUAACUGUUUGACAGCAGCAAGCAAUUUGAAUGCUGAAGCCCAAUCCAUAUACGAGCUUUACGCAGACUCAAGCCGAAUAUCCGGGCCCGGAUCAAUUUGGAAAGACAUCGUUUUGUCACCUUCAAGGGCAAGCCUUCAGCAGGAGCUAAGGGCUUGUAUUCAAAGAAUUGAAAAUCCAGAGUCCGUUUGAUAAAAGAUUUCUAGUAACGUUGUUUAUAUUUUUUAGAAAUACAUGUGAGUGAAAAAAUAUGUGAAAAUACGUAUAAUGUUGUUUAAACAAUGGUAACAAACGAAACUUGUAAAGAAAAUCAACUAAAUGAAUGUGGAACUUUAUUUGUGAAUGCAUCCAAGCUGGAAUAUUAUAUGUUAA